GGGUUGUGAGGUUAAGCGACUAAGCGUACACGGUGGAUGCCCUGGCAGUCAGAGGCGAUGAAGGACGUGCUAAUCUGCGAAAAGCGCCGGCGAGGUGAUAUGAACCUUUGACCCGGCGAUGUCCGAAUGGGGAAACCCAGUGCAAUUCGUUGCACUAUCGUUAACUGAAUACAUAGGUUAACGAGGCGAACCGGGGGAACUGAAACAUCUAAGUACCCCGAGGAAAAGAAAUCAACCGAGAUUCCCCCAGUAGCGGCGAGCGAACGGGGAGCAGCCCAGAGUCUGAAUCAGCUUGUGUGUUAGUGGAAGCGUCUGGAAAGUCGCACGGUACAGGGUGACAGUCCCGUACACGAAAGCACACAGGCUGUGAACUCGAAGAGUAGGGCGGGACACGUGGUAUCCUGUCUGAAUAUGGGGGGACCAUCCUCCAAGGCUAAAUACUCCUGACUGACCGAUAGUGAACCAGUACCGUGAGGGAAAGGCGAAAAGAACCCCGGCGAGGGGAGUGAAAAAGAACCUGAAACCGUGUACGUACAAGCAGUGGGAGCACCUUCGUGGUGUGACUGCGUACCUUUUGUAUAAUGGGUCAGCGACUUAUAUUCUGUAGCAAGGUUAACCGUAUAGGGGAGCCGAAGGGAAACCGAGUCUUAACUGGGCGUUAAGUUGCAGGGUAUAGACCCGAAACCCGGUGAUCUAGCCAUGGGCAGGUUGAAGGUUGGGUAACACUAACUGGAGGACCGAACCGACUAAUGUUGAAAAAUUAGCGGAUGACUUGUGGCUGGGGGUGAAAGGCCAAUCAAACCGGGAGAUAGCUGGUUCUCCCCGAAAGCUAUUUAGGUAGCGCCUCGUGAACUCAUCUUCGGGGGUAGAGCACUGUUUCGGCUAGGGGGCCAUCCCGGCUUACCAACCCGAUGCAAACUACGAAUACCGAAGAAUGUUAUCACGGGAGACACACGGCGGGUGCUAACGUCCGUCGUGAAGAGGGAAACAACCCAGACCGCCAGCUAAGGUCCCAAAGUCAUGGUUAAGUGGGAAACGAUGUGGGAAGGCACAGACAGCCAGGAUGUUGGCUUAGAAGCAGCCAUCAUUUAAAGAAAGCGUAAUAGCUCACUGGUCGAGUCGGCCUGCGCGGAAGAUGUAACGGGGCUAAACCAUGCACCGAAGCUGCGGCAGCGACGCUUAUGCGUUGUUGGGUAGGGGAGCGUUCUGUAAGCCGUUGAAGGUGUGCUGUGAGGCAUGCUGGAGGUAUCAGAAGUGCGAAUGCUGACAUAAGUAACGAUAAAGCGGGUGAAAAGCCCGCUCGCCGGAAGACCAAGGGUUCCUGUCCAACGUUAAUCGGGGCAGGGUGAGUCGACCCCUAAGGCGAGGCCGAAAGGCGUAGUCGAUGGGAAACAGGUUAAUAUUCCUGUACUUGGUGUUACUGCGAAGGGGGGACGGAGAAGGCUAUGUUAGCCGGGCGACGGUUGUCCCGGUUUAAGCAUGUAGGCGGAGGUUCCAGGUAAAUCCGGUACCUUUUAACGCUGAGGUGUGAUGACGAGGCACUACGGUGCUGAAGUAACAAAUGCCCUGCUUCCAGGAAAAGCCUCUAAGCAUCAGGUAACACGAAAUCGUACCCCAAACCGACACAGGUGGUCAGGUAGAGAAUACCAAGGCGCUUGAGAGAACUCGGGUGAAGGAACUAGGCAAAAUGGUGCCGUAACUUCGGGAGAAGGCACGCUGAUAUGUAGGUGAAGCCCCUGCGGGUGGAGCUGAAAUCAGUCGAAGAUACCAGCUGGCUGCAACUGUUUAUUAAAAACACAGCACUGUGCAAACACGAAAGUGGACGUAUACGGUGUGACGCCUGCCCGGUGCCGGAAGGUUAAUUGAUGGGGUUAGCGGCAACGCGAAGCUCUUGAUCGAAGCCCCGGUAAACGGCGGCCGUAACUAUAACGGUCCUAAGGUAGCGAAAUUCCUUGUCGGGUAAGUUCCGACCUGCACGAAUGGCGUAAUGAUGGCCAGGCUGUCUCCACCCGAGACUCAGUGAAAUUGAACUCGCUGUGAAGAUGCAGUGUACCCGCGGCAAGACGGAAAGACCCCGUGAACCUUUACUAUAGCUUGACACUGAACACUGGUCCUUGAUGUGUAGGAUAGGUGGGAGGCUUUGAAGCGUGGACGCCAGUCUGCGUGGAGCCGUCCUUGAAAUACCACCCUUUAAUGGCUGGUGUUCUAACGUAGACCCGUAAUCCGGGUUGCGGACAGUGUCUGGUGGGUAGUUUGACUGGGGCGGUCUCCUCCCAAAGAGUAACGGAGGAGCACGAAGGUUAGCUAAUCCUGGUCGGACAUCAGGAGGUUAGUGCAAUGGCAUAAGCUAGCUUGACUGCGAGAGUGACGGCUCGAGCAGGUGCGAAAGCAGGUCAUAGUGAUCCGGUGGUUCUGAAUGGAAGGGCCAUCGCUCAACGGAUAAAAGGUACUCCGGGGAUAACAGGCUGAUACCGCCCAAGAGUUCAUAUCGACGGCGGUGUUUGGCACCUCGAUGUCGGCUCAUCACAUCCUGGGGCUGAAGUAGGUCCCAAGGGUAUGGCUGUUCGCCAUUUAAAGUGGUACGCGAGCUGGGUUUAGAACGUCGUGAGACAGUUCGGUCCCUAUCUGCCGUGGGCGCUGGAGAAUUGAGGGGGGCUGCUCCUAGUACGAGAGGACCGGAGUGGACGCAUCACUGGUGUUCGGGUUGUCAUGCCAAUGGCACUGCCCGGUAGCUAAAUGCGGAAAAGAUAAGUGCUGAAAGCAUCUAAGCACGAAACUUGCCCCGAGAUGAGUUCUCCCUGACCCUUUAAGGGUCCUGAAGGAACGUUGAAGACGACGACGUUGAUAGGUCGGGUGUGUAAGCGCAGCGAUGCGUUGAGCUAACCGAUACUAAUGAACCGUGAGGCUUAACCUUACAACGCCGAAGCUGUU
rnacentral:rRNA from 1 species